AGGACAUUACCCACUUUAAAAACUGUCCACGUGAACUGUAAGCAAGUCUAGCGCUGUGACUGAGCUGGUGUUUUCAUUUUUGGACACUGGAACGGGAGUCAGCAGGACGAAGGUUGGUCUGUUGUAAUGCAAGUUAUAAUGGACUAGCUGAUGAACUUUUGUUUUUAAACCCUUACCUAAAUACUGAUUUAUACUGUGGGGACGAAAGUCCUUGCUUUUACUAGAUAACAACUUUCAGCAGUGGAUGUCUAGGCUCGCACAUCGAUGAAGAACGCUGCGAACUGCGAUACGUAAUGCGAAUUGCAGAAUUCAGUGAGUCAUCGAAAUUUUGAACGCAUAUUGCACUUUCGGGUUAUGCCUGGAAGUAUGUCUGUAUCAGUGUCCGUAAAUCAAACUUGCCUUUCUUUUUCUGUGUAGUCAGGGAUGGAAUGUGCAGAUGUGAAGUGUCUCGCAUGGUUGCGUUCGUUUUUUCGAUCGAGAAUCUGUCGAGUCCUUUUAAAUGGACACGGUCUUUUCUAUGGUUUCUAUGAAGUGUAAUGGUUGGAAGGCAGUGAUUUUCGGAUUGCUGGCGGCUUUUGGCGACUUCGGUAUGAACGUAUGGAGACUAGCUCAAUUCGUGGUAUGUUAGGCUUCGGCUCGACAAUGUUGCGUAAUUGUGUGUGGUCUUUGUUUGUGCCUUGAGGUGUACUAGAGGUUGUCGGUUUGAACCGUAAGUGAUUGUUUAGUAGAGCAUUUUCACGAUGUAUGGAGACGCUGCAUUUAGUUGCGUACAGAGAUUGAUUUGGGGAAAUUUUGUAUCAUUGUCAAUUGCAAGAUUGUGUAUGGUAUCUCAAUUGGACCUGAUAUCAGACAAGACUACCCGCUGAACUUAAGCAUAUCAAUAAGCCGAAGGAAA
rnacentral:rRNA from 1 species